ACAUGAAAUUUCCCUGUCUUUUUAAACGUGUUUGUCUGUGUCUCAUUCUCACAUGCAUCGUUUAAGCCAAGACAUUUCAGUCCUCAGUUCUUUGAUGCCAUUUGGCUUCAAUUUCCACAUGAAAUGCUUGGAAACUAAAGAUGACUCAGAAGGGGUUGAAACCCUUGUCCUGCAAGACUCUUUGUGAAGCAAGCAAACGAUUUCCUUUGUAUGAAGCAAGUGCGUGCUCUGAGCCCCUGAUUUAGCUUGGUUCCUCUUCCCUCUCUCAACACACAAGGCCUGGGACAUUUCUGCCAAGAGUUGUACUUGCACUUAAGGUACAAGUCCCUGAAUUGUCCCUGAUAAGAAGUAGCCAUUAUUGAAGUCUUGUGGCUUUGACUGUGAAGGCUUUCAAGUUUUUUUUUUUUUUUUUUUUUUUUUUUGUGUGUGUGUGAAGACUGCCUAUCCAUUUAUAGUUGUUAUAUAAAAAUGUGAGUGAGGGUUUAUCUCUUCCUUUUAGAUGUAUGGCUCUAGCUCUGGAAUUGCUUCCAAGUUUACAAAAUGAGUCUGGUUUAGACCUCUCUGAUAAACAUUUUUUUUUGUUGCUGUUGCAAAGUUGGAUCAGAGUUUUGUUGUCAUAAUGGUUGGUGCACUUGGCAGCUUGCAUUUUAAAUAAUUAGGAGAUAAAAUUGGACUGUGUUUGAAUUCAGUAUGUCUGGUAUUUUCUUGCUUUACUUGGUUAUGUUUUUAAUCCCCCUUUUAACUUUGAAGACUAAUGUAAGACAGUUAAGAACUGAGGGCUGGUAAAUUUUUUUUGUCAUUUUUGAAACCUAGAUCCAAGCCAGCUUCUCUUCAAUAUUUCAGCCUCGCCCUCCCAGGACACUUAGAGAUAGAUCAAUGUCUUUAUCAAAAGAAGUGCGCCUUUUGUGAUGGUAACACUGUAACAUUAAAUAUUCAUUCUAAUCUGCAGUUGAGACAAUUACAUUGUUCCCAAUAUAUUUUACUUUGGAUUAUGAAGUUUUAAAAAUAUGCCACUUAAAUUUCAACCUACUAUAGCUGGUAAGGGAGUUUACGGCUCUGAUGCAUCAGAAUUGAGAUAGUUUUGCAACACUUGAGGAAAAUCUUCAGUAUUCUUCACAUGGAGCAAAGCGAUCAACUUAAAGGAUGGCAUUGAUAGGUGUUGUUUUUUUUUCUUUUUGCUGAACACAAUGCUGUAGGUAUGGUGGGAGAGGAAGUGCAGCAAAAUAACAGGCUAAACUGUUGAGAAACAUUCAUCCCAUCUAAGGAACCUUUGCUGUGUGAAAUGUAUAUGUUAAAAAUAUAUUCUAGAAUUCAGUUACACUGAGGAAAAGUUCCUGAUACAUGGUGUUGUUCUGCACUUAUUGAGAGCAAUUGGUUCCAGUCCUGGUCUAGAAGUAGAUGAAUUGUAACAACAGAAGUAAUUUCUAUAUUAUUAGAAUCCAAUUCUGGAAAAAAAAUAAAAUAAAAUGCAAACUGGCCUUGUUAACUGUAGUUUGGCAAUAUACUCUGAAUUCACAGAAUGGAAGCAUGGAAACACAACCUUGCUCUAACGUGAGCUGAGUUUGUUCAUAUAUUUUGUUGAGUUUUUAUAUGAGUUUGUUGAUGUAUUGACUACUCCAUUUGCUUUCUUUUGAAGGCUCUACAUUCACUUUAUUAUCAUUACAGUUGAUUCUAUGUAGAGAUUGGGCCUCCCAGUUUUUCCUCUGGGCAGCUUGUGGUGGGAGACCAAGAUGCACAGGCAACUGAAAUGUCCUUAUCUCCAACAGGAGCUCAUCAAGCAAGACAACUCUAAGCUUGUUUCUACCAAACUCUGUGUCAGGACUGUAAUUCAGGAGUGAACCUUGCUUUAAAGCCCUAAUUUGAAGGAGCAAAGAUGAAGCCCUGCCUGCAUUACAGUGUAAAUGCUUCUACCCUGACUACAUGAAGUUUAGCUGUGUAUUGUUCUGACUGCCAAAGGAUUCUGCUUACUCCUUGCCUCACGUGGAAAUUUGAAAACUAUUCAUGAGAGAGCAGAUUUGCUCAAUUAUUGAUUCAUUCCACACACUGUGUGCUUUGUAAGUUGUAUUUCGCAUAAAAGCAUGUGGUGUUAGGCUGGUGCAAUCAAGGAGGCAUCACUAGUUAAUCUAGCUGGCAUGAUAAUCUGCUGGAUUUGUGCACAUCAUAAAUAUGAUUGGCUUAGUGCCUGGAGAAGUAUGAAAUUGUUCCUGGUGUGGGCAUGUGCUGGUGGGAGAAGGAAGAGGUGGCAGACAGUGGUUCUCAUUAAUUAGUAAGUGGAUUGAUUCCUUAAGCAGAAAUGUACUACUUGCGAUAAAUCUUUUUUUUUUAAAUCCCAGCUUCUGUAUUCAAUUUUACCUCUCCUAUAGUGGAAGAGUUAAUUAUGUUAAAAGGCUUGUACUCAAGUUAUUUAUCUUCAAGGAUUUUUCUCUGUAACUUCUGAAAAUGUUUUGAUGUCUAUCACAGAUCCUCUUUGAGGUUGGAGUGUUCUGGCUCUGUCACUUCCAUUUGUGUUCUUGUGUUUGGACCUGACAAAUUGUACCCAUUUGUGCUGUGGUUACAGCUGAUGUUGGUUUUCCAUUUUAUGGGCCAAAUACAGUCCUUGGAUGCAUGUGUGCAGUUCCCACUGACUUCAAUCAUCUGUCUAUUUUAUUUAUAGUCUUUUUCUUCCUGACGCUCAUCGUUUCAGCGUAACAGUAUUGCCCAAACAAUGCCUUCUCCUAAUCUCCUGUGGCCUAAAUAAACUGAAAUGCGCCAAAUUCUUUUCAUGUUUACACCAACACAACACCUGUCUUUGGCAGUGAAUGUGUGAAAAUUAGAUACUUGUUUCAGUAUGCCUGAAGUUUUUAUGUCUCAUCCCUGUUCAUACAACUUGUUCAACUUGUGCAAAGUCUGACUACAUUAAUGGAAAAGCAAAUCUGAUUCUAGAGGAGCAGUGCUAUUAGUCACAUUAUCUGCAGAAGUGAGAUAGCUGACAGUAAUAGCUGUGUUGUUUCAACUUUUUCUCACUAAAAAUUACUUAAGUGAAAUGUAAAUUACGUAAAUGAAAUUGCUAGAGGGGCUUUGAGGGCACUGUUACAUGGCAGUUAGUUCACCGUUCAUCUGGGACAGAAAGAUGUACUUGAAUUUGAGAGGCAAUGUUACUCCUAAAUUCAAGCUGCCAUGCUUCACAGGAGGACAUGCAGUAUAGCCAACUUCCACUCAACUAUCAUGAAUACAGGUUUUUUGGCAGGUUUUGAAACCUCUUCAAAUGCAUAUGGAGGUGCAAGAGGAAGGAACGACUUACUUCUGGGAGGGGUAUGGGAGCGCCAGGCCAACCUUACAGACGCCUGCAACCUCCUGGUCACAGCAGGAGGUCUGCACUGUAAGGCGCUCGGCUAGAAGAAGCCAUGCUUUCACUGCAUGUAAUGUGCUAUUCACCAUCCUGGUUUAGUAUUGCAGUUUUGUAAUUUCCCUUGGCAGCUUUACAGUGCUUGAGAAUAAGUAGGAAUGGAAUCAGGGAGGAGAGGGAAGUGAAUUGCCCAUCUAACUUUUCAGUGCAGUUGAAAGUGAUUGCACCUCUCCAUAGCAGCAAGCUCAUCCACAGGGACUUGAUACUAAUGUUUGCAGUGUCUCUAGACACUGCUAAAUAAGCCUUUUACCUGAGGAUUACCAUUUCAGCUGGGAUCCCUAUUAAUAGGUACUUGAUAGCUUCUUAAUGAGACAAGUUGUAAUUUCUGUUCCAGUUCCUGCAAGAAAGUGCACUGGUAUCUUUUGCCCCAUGUCCGUGGCUUUCUACCCGUUCUGAGUUGUUUAGAAUUUUUUUCUGCUUGGAGUUGAAAUCGGAUAUAGUGAGUUGAAGGCUCUGACAUGUAGGCAUAGACCCUCCAAAAGUAGUCCAUAAAGCCCCAGCAGGCUGCGGACCACAGCUAGGACCUGACGGGAUGGUCAGGGCAGUUCCCAGAGAUCCCCUCCACUAUUCAGGGUGGCUGCAGUGAGAGCUCACAUACAGAAGACUGAAAUCAACACUAUGGCAGUGAGAUUUGUUGUUGUUAUUAUAUUAUUCAGGUAGAGGGGGCGAUUAGGAGGAUUCAGAAACUGCCCUUAAAACUUUCACAUUUCCUACUUAAAUUUUAAAGAGUAGCAUUCCAGUGAAUUCUCAAGAUUUCACAGUAUCUUAUUUUUAAAGCAUUUUUGGAGUAAGAUCUUGCUUGAAUGACAACUGCUGUUUGCCCUUCAAUCACUGCGCUUGCUCUGGACUGACUCUAACCAUGAUGUAAGUGCAUGAAAUAGUUCCUGAGGUGUUACAACAGUCCUCAGUGGGGAAACACCUACUUGUUUAGAUUCUCAUUUCUGGUGUCUUAAUGACCCCUUAAUAGUUCUUUAGUUUUUCUACUACAUGUAUAUGUGAAAUAAAAUACGCUAAUAAAUUAACUUUGCACUUAGCCUGGAGAGUGUUGUUCAUGACAGUCUGCAGAACAACCAGUUCUACAAACCAACUGGAGCUUCAGAGCACAAAACCAGAUUUUUCCAUCUGUGUGAAAUCCAUUGGAAAUGGAAUAUGGAAAGAAGAAAAAAAAACUGUAAAUACCUUUCUGGUAAACUCCUUUGUUCUGUUUUAGAAAAUGCUUCACAUAAACCAAGCUAAGAUCAAUUUGUAGCCAUAGGGGUGCUGGAUGCUGCCCCAGCUUUGGCUGCUGAUGGCUCAUCAGCUCCUCUGUGGCAGUGUCCCCUUGGCUGGGACAAGUCCUGCUACAGCAUGGAUGGAAAAUCUGAACCAAGUUUAGAUUAUGUUCUCUCUUUUGGGGCUAAAGCAGAUUUGGGAGGGAGCAGGGGUGAUGAAUCUCAUGGGUUUUCUUUGAUCUCUUCCUGCCUGUGUGAUAUGUAGCAUUUCCUUAGGACUGCAGAGCAGCAGUCAGUCCUGUGGAUGCAACUGAAACUCAUUUCUGUGUACAGAUCCUGCUAGGCUCCUUUCUACACUUACUUACAGGAGAAAGGGGGAAGAUUAGCCUCAUUUUGCUGCCCACAUAUUACGUUGAACAUGAGGGAUUGAAAUCUGAAUAGUGUGCUGUUGAAUUCUUGCUGGUUGAUUUCUGUGGAGAGCCUGCAUGUCUCAUUUUAAUUUUUCUUCAUUUUUGAUAUUUCUUUUCCUUCAAUUCUUCCUUUUUUUCAGUCAUUUGAAAUAGGGGAUAUAACUUGAAACUGGAAGCAAAAAAUUUGCUUUGAGAGAUCAAGAGUCCUUUAAGCAGCUUACUGGAUCAGCAGUCGCAAAGUUAUCGGGAGGCUUGAACUCUUUCUAUGGCUUUAACAGGAGCAGCACAGUGCUGGAGCAAACAUCACAACUCUGCAUCCUCAAGGGAAGACUUAGUGCUUUACACAUACAAGCAGAACUAAAUACUGUACUUUGAUGUACUCCUUUUUUUUUUUCCUUUAUUGUUAUUACUUUCAACCUGUUGGGAGUAAGUUUUUCUGCGCUCCUGGUUCAGAUUUCCCUUGAUGUUGUGUGGAUCUCGUGUGCACUACAUAAAACUAGAAAGAAGGACACUUCUUGAUGGUGGUAGCUGUCCUAACAGCUAUAAGCUACGGAUUUGUGUCAGUGUGAGUUUUAUGCAUUUCCAUGUGUAAAACAGUGCUCUUAAUGUCACAGGAUUGUUGCACUGUCUAAUAUUUGCUGUAUGGCUGGUACUCUACUGUGGUAGGUAGAAGCAGAAAGAACACCCAGCGGCCAGAUCGCAGGGGCUGGUGCUGUGUGAGGUUGCACUCAGUGCUCUCUGACCAGGCACAGUAGCAGGGCUCUGAUUUUCAGCCUGCUUUACCAGAGGGUUUACUACGGAAGGUCAGUAACAGCCAGGGGGUAACUAUCUGUCUUGCCACGUGUUUAAAAAUAAAAGCCUUGUAUUUUUAUCUAGGAUGUCUCACGCGCUUUGGAAAAAAUGAGGCAAAGGAGUGUAAUGACCAACUGGGUUGUCCCCUGUGGUUACAAACAGCUAUGCCAUAUAAGCAUGUUUAUAAACUGACCAAGAUCUGUUAAAAUAAAAUAACCCAGUAAAUCUCCAGGUUUUUUGAGUACUUGCUUGUUUUGGGGGUCAAGGGGAAGAGGAGAUUGCGCUCUUUUUCCUGUUGAAAAGGUGUUUCAUAGCCUAACCUUUGAUGGGUAAGAAUCUACGUCUAAUUUCAUACUAACUUAUAGAAGCACACCUUUUUAGCAGUAAAAGCAAGGCUUUGGAGAAGGAAAACUAACAGCUUGUGUAUGGAAGCAUCAGAUUUCAAUCACCGAAGUGCCCUGGCUCUACAGGUCCGAAUCCUGGCAGUGGCUGUGUUUGUUCCUCAAAGGCAGAUAAAUUAGGCACCAUGGAUUUCACUGUCAUGAAAGGUUAACGUUUCCUUUUGUGUCCUUUAAGACCAUAGGAUGUAGUCCGUAUUUAAUACAAUUUGUCCCAAUGUCCCUGAUUUAAAUUUUUCUCUUUUCUGUUCCCCAAUGCAUGUGCAGUGCCCUAAACUGAUUUCAAUUCAUGAAACACCGUGUUAGAUAAAGACAUGUUGAAAACUUCCCUGCUACCAUGCUGGUAUGCUGUGGGAAUUCAAAUACAAACCACACCUCUACAACAGCUGAAAGUACACGCGUGUGUGCGUGUUGACAUAACAAAAAGGUAUUUUGAACUGUUCCCAGGGUUUGUUGGAAGGCAAAAAUAUCCUGUAAAAGUCCAUAUGGAACAUUCGUGAGGUACUGCAGUAGCAGGAGUAGAGAUUCAUUUCCUGAAGUCCAGAUUUAACUAAAUUUCCUGCUGAAACUAGUAGUCAUGCUGAAAUACUAGCAGUAAAGAAAGUGGGGCAACACAAAGCUGAUCUGGAAUCCUGCUGAGAAUUUUACUUCCCAGACAAUGUUUGUCAAAAUAGUAACGCUGAUAAAGCUUGAUUUCAAAAACUGUCACAUUUUACUUUUUUCUCCUGCUGUACUAAAGUUGCUGGAAUGUUUGUUUUUUUAUACUUUUGAAAUGAAUAUUUCUUAGGUUUAAGCAACUUUUUGUUCAGGUAUUUCAUUUAAGCAAAUAAACAAGUAAGGAGAUUAAAAUUGAAACAAAUCUGUUUGCAAAUAAACGCAAUAAAUAUCUGGAUAUUUUGUUUGGCCCUGGAAGAUGUAAAAAAAAA